AUGCACUGGGAAAAAUAUCUUAAUGUUUGCUCUGAAGCCUCUCCCAGGAAGGAAAGGACACGGAAAGGUAUGAAGAACAGAUGGUGUAGCCCACUACACACUCAGAUGAUUGGAAAACCUGGAUCCCUGAGUUUCUAUCUAGCUGGAAAUCACCCAAGAGAAUUACCUGAAGAGCAAUACCUGAAAUGGAGGAUGUAUGUGAGAGAAAUGGACCAUUUGCUACAUAAAGCAUUGAAAUGUCUUUGGCUUGGGAUUCAGACGCUCACUCAUUGGAUGAGGUGUGUAGCCCACCUAACUAUGAAGCCCUUUCUUGAUGGAGCCAUCAUGAGAAGAGCUGCAGAAGCACACCCUGAGGAAAGCUAUCCCCGGUAAAAAGCUGCAAAUCUCUCAUCACAGGAUGGAAAACGGGAGUCCACAUCAAGCAUCCGAAGUUUGUGGAAACUGGGUAAGCACAGAAAUAGCAGAGGGUCAGUGAAGGGUUACCCUGCAUGAAGCUCCAGGACACCUGGCUUGCAGAUGGAAAGUAAGGAAAUCCCUGCCUCACACCACAUGUAUACAGGAAGCAAGGUGGAAGAACUAAGCAUCAAAGAGACAGCACGCUAGAACCAUCAGGGAAAUACCCCUGUGCCCUAAGUUAGAAAACACAUUAAUGUAGUGAAAUUACAUUAAUUACACAUUAUGUGCAAUGUGAAAUUACACAUUAAUGAGUAUCUAUCCUAGCAGUCCAAACUUCCAUGGUUACAGUAGAACAGUAGUGCAAGUGAGUGAGGUCCACAGUACGUACAACUGAGAACUUACUCCACCAAUAGGAAACAUUUAGGGAAGACGAGCACAGAUGAUAAGCAGAUUAUUCAGAGAAGAUAAGGGGGUCAAUAAAUCUACUAAAAGGGGUUCA
rnacentral:lncRNA from 1 species